ACAGGUUUAUACAGGCAAUAUGAUGAUGAGUAAAUGAUAACAGAAAUAUAUCCCUUUAAUAUUUGGAUAUCCGAUGUGUCUGUCAUUCUGAGUUCAUAUAAUUCAUCUGUAAUAAUGUCAGAUGUCUGUCUGUGUAAUAAACAGAGUAUCAGUCAGUCACUUCAGCUUCUGUUAUGGGUUUAUAUAUUCUUGAUAUGUGGAGUUACACUAGAAAUGUGAAUCUGAACAGAUGGGCAUCACUGCAGCAUAUAGAAGAGAUCCAUAAAGUUGAAUUCUUUAGUUCAGUUAUCAUUUACUGACAUGACUGACAUGAGUUUAUAAAUUUAAAGUUGAAUCUCUUUGGAUUUUUUUCUCUGUGUGUUUGAGACUGAAGAACUUGAGCCAUUAUCAGUGAAUGAAGGCGAUUCUGUCAUUCUUCACACUGAUACAGAAACACAGACAGAUGAUGUAAACUCGGACAAAACAGAAGUGUUACUUACACUGUAACGAAUUGCUGUAAAAACUACAGCGUUAUUUUACAGAAGCUGACUGUAUUUUAAAUAAUACAGAAUAUUGCUGUAAAGUGCAAUGCAUUGUGGGGUCACGUGACGGAUUAACUCAAAUGUACAGAAUAAUGCUGUAAAUUUCAAAUCUACAAUGGCGGGAUGAUCUUCAACAGUCGAGAUUGGGGAAGUGCGCAAAAUGAGUGAUUCACACCUGUGGUAAGUGCUUUAUUACGUUUAUUUUCUCCAUAUUUGUUAACUAUCAUACUGGUAACUUUAUAUAGAAGUAUUUACAGUCGCGUUUCAUACUGGUAACCCGGUAUUCAACCUCCAUCCACGGGGACCGAAGGAGUCUUGCGCGGGGUUUCAGCAGCGCCGUCGCGGUAAGAUUUCAAACAUUCUCCGUCGCUAUAGCACCUGAGGACAGAAGUUGUUCACGUUAUUUCGAGUUUUUGUACACAGCAGGUGCGAAGGCGGUAUGUGAGGAGCUACAGUUCAUUGUAUUAGUACAUUGACGGUUGUUUGUUUAAUAUUGAACAUCGCGCCCGCCCUAGACACGGUAAAAGUUACAUGCUUCGACUGUUGGGAUUCACGGGAAUUUACUAUUGAAUACCACACUCGGUCGUGAUUAUUUUGUGGUGUAAUUCAAAUUUGCAAAUGCAGUUAUCCGUUAAACCGAGCGCCCAAAUUAAAACGAGUCACCAAAGCUUGCGGUAGGUCGAUGUUCACGGAGGAUAUCCCAGUAAAGUGAUUAAUGUACGUAACGAGCUAGAUAUACAGUGUACAUAACGGAGGCCAGAUGAGAGCUUGAGCAAAAGACGUUAGCCACACCCUCAUCGUUAGAGCAGGACUGUCUCCCAAAUACGACCGUUAGAGGGUAGGAGUGAGACGGCCCGUUACAAAUAACAGUGUGACAAUUUCUUGAUCGUGACAUCCCUUACGUAAAUGGCUUACAUUUCUGUAUAAGUACGGUUUUAAGUGUAAGUUACUCUGUGUAAUUUGCUUAGAGUUUGUUUGUAGAAUCACUUAUACUUAAAUGUAGUUUAAAUGUAAAAAGCUUAAAGAUAAAAUUGUAUUGUAUCUAUUAACUAUUGUCACAUGUGGUAUUGUUUGUUUUAGGACACACUUUGCCAUGCAGGCCACUGGAUGCUGACUACUGAAGGUUAGGUUGUGUGUGACGGUGCUCAGCACAGCUUCAUGUCUGGCCUUCCCACUCUGAUCAUAGCAUGUUAAAUAUUCAAUCUUCAGUACCAGGAUGGGGGAGCGUCUAUCGUGGAGUCCACUGAAAGAUAUUAAUCCAGAGAGUGGAACAAGAAGCGUCAUCUAAAAUGCCAGGAUACAGAAGUAACAGGUUGCAGUGAAACCACAUGUUGCCGCUCUUCUAAACACAAUGAUGAAUUUUCAGUGAAAUCGAUGAAAAUUCCAGCUACUUGUUGUGCUCUGAUGGAUCAAGAUGUGGAACGUUUUACAGACUCACUUGGGCUUUGUUAUGCGAUGUUGUUACAUCAUGGAUAUGUUGGUUAAGGUAUUGUUUAAACAUUCAUUGUUUAAAGAGCCAUGUUGGCUACUAUGAAGUUGUAACUGAAUAAAAAUAUUUUAUGUACAACAAGGUACAAAAUUUGUCUGUAAUUUAUUUUUGUAUCAAUUAAAACAUAAAUAAACAGUGUAAAUCCAGUAUGCAACAACUACUGGAUAUACAGUGAUUAUGUAUUUCUUCUAAAUAAAGUAAAUUAAAAUCAAGCAAUUGGCUGUAAAAAAUACAGCAUUAUACUGUUUCUAUUCAAAAUUACAGUUUUUUCCUGUAUUAUGCAAUUACAGAAAAUGGCUGUAAAUUAAAUUACAGAACUGUGGCUGUAAAAUUUACAGUAUCUGGCUGGCAACCCUGCUGCCAGUAAUUUACUGUAAAUUUUACAGGAUUUUUUUUACAGUGUACUGGACCGAAAACUGCUAUGCGUAACAACCAAGAAUACUGCUUAACGAUUGACGGAUGCUCCAUAAAAUCCUCGUCAUCAGCUAAGAAUCUUGGCGUUGUAUUUGACAGUACUCUCUCAUUUGAAAGCCAUGUCGCAAACACCUGUAAAAUUGCAUUUUUCCAUCUUAAGAAUAUAUCUAAAUUACGUCAUAUGCUGUCACUGUCAGAUGCAGAGAAAUUAAUUCAUGCAUUCAUGACAUCAAGACUAGAUUACUGUAAUGCACUUCUAGGUGGUUGCCCUGCGGGCCUAUUACAAAAACUGCAACUGGUUCAAAACGCGGCAGCUCGAGUUCUUACACGUACAAAAAAGUAUGAGCAUAUAACCCCGGUUCUGUCAACCUUGCACUGGUUACCUAUAAAGCAUCGCAUUAACUUUAAGAUCUUGCUUAUUACCUAUAAAGCCCUACAUGGUCUAGCGCCGCAGUAUUUGAAUGAACUUCUAUUGUAUUACAGACCACCACGUACAUUACGCUCUAAGGGGUCCUGUCAGUUGGUAAUACCUAGAAUUUCAAAAUCAAGUGCAGGUGGUAGAUCCUUUUCUUAUCUAGCGCCUAAACUUUGGAAUAUUCUUCCCUGCACGGUCCGGGAGGCAGACACACUCUGUCAGUUUAAAUCUAGACUAAAGACUCAUCUUUUUAAUCUUGCAUACACUACACCUCCAUAAUAUUAAUCCUCAGAGGAUUUAGGCUGCAUUAUUUAGAUCAACCGGAACCAGGAACACAUCCAACAACAAAUGAUGUACUUGUUGCAUCAAAGAGUGCAGAACAGUACUCUACUCUCAGCCAGUCUUGUCUC